GUAACAGGCAAAUCUAGGCACCAGCUCUGCAAUGCCUUUCCCCCCACAGAACAGCCCCGGACGUGGGUCAAGUACAUCAGCACAAGCAGGGGCGUCUUUUCACUGACAUCAACAAAGGGCUCCUGUCACGUGUGGCCCCGCAAGGCUGGGGGGUGGCGGGGAGAGGAGGAAGUGCCAGGGGCAGAGGGGAGUCCUGGGGAGAGAAAGGUGCGGUCGGCGGCGGCCAAUAACGAGGCCUCCAGGGGGAGGAGGAGGAAGGCGAGCCCCUGCGGCAGCCCCCGUGGAACCGCACCCCGGCCACGCCCUGAGCCCGGGGUCGGGGGGCAGCUCCCCAGCCCGAAGCCCCCCAGGCACACCUUGUCAUGGCCUCCAGCCACACACAGAACAUACUGGCGCCCUCUGGCCCGGGCCCGACGCCCCGCCCACAGCCUGAGAAGCCAAAGCCAAGAUGCCCACUUGGAGCGGAGUUCCGGUAGAGCUGCCGGCGGGCCUCGGGCUCCUCUCGCGAGGCUCUGUCGGGGGCGGAGUUCCGGUAGAGCUGCCGGCGGGCCUCGGGCUCCUCUCGCGAGGCUGCGUCAGGACGGCCGGUGCUGCGCAGGCCCCUGCAGGCCGCACCGGGCCGGGGCCCUCAGAGCAGCAGGCAGGCGUCCUCACGGAAGGGUUUCUGUCAGGCAGAAGAAGAAUAUCAAACAUUUGUCACUCGGCGGAGAUCCCGUCCCUAAGCUGCGUCACUCACCAUUUCUAAAUGUUUGCUUACCUGAGGAAAUGCCUGUAGCAAGACCCCAGGAUUCAAUUCCUUACCACACUGAGACCUUCUCUAUUCCUACUGUAUCCUGCUGCUCUGAAUGGCAGCAUACAUCCCCAAAGUCAUGUGCUCCUUCCUGUGCCUCGGACCCAGCCGUGGGCCGCAGCCGCCUCGGCCAGCAGGCACAUUCCACCUUGAAAUCCUGAGCGCAGCGUCUCCGUAGACUGUCACCUCCUGCCUGAGUCCACAGCAAGGGGAAGCAGCAGUGUGGAUGGACUCCACUGUCCAGGGAGCACCUCUGAGUCCCCACGACUCUUCUUGGACAUCAUAAGUGGAAGGAACGCCUUCAAAUAACUGGAAUUUUGUGUU
rnacentral:lncRNA from 12 species